GACGAACGCUGGCGGCGUGCCUAAUACAUGCAAGUAGAACGCACAGUUUAUACCGUAGCUUGCUACACCAUAAACUGUGAGUUGCGAACGGGUGAGUAACGCGUAGGUAACCUGCCUGGUAGCGGGGGAUAACUAUUGGAAACGAUAGCUAAUACCGCAUAAUAUUGAUUAUUGCAUGAUAAUUGAUUGAAAGAUGCUAUUGCAUCACUACCAGAUGGACCUGCGUUGUAUUAGCUAGUAGGUGAGGGAACGGCUCACCUAGGCGACGAUACAUAGCCGACCUGAGAGGGUGAUCGGCCACACUGGGACUGAGACACGGCCCAGACUCCUACGGGAGGCAGCAGUAGGGAAUCUUCGGCAAUGGACGAAAGUCUGACCGAGCAACGCCGCGUGAGUGAAGAAGGUUUUCGGAUCGUAAAGCUCUGUUGUAAGAGAAGAACGGGUGUGAGAGUGGAAAGUUCACACUGUGACGGUAUCUUACCAGAAAGGGACGGCUAACUACGUG
rnacentral:rRNA from 1 species